rnacentral:rRNA from 1 species
AUUGAACGCUGGCGGCAGGCCUAACACAUGCAAGUCGAGCGGAGCGGCGGACGGGUGAGUACUGCCUAGGAAUCUACCUGGUAGUGGGGGAUAACGUCCGGAAACGGGCGCUAAUACCGCAUACUAUCAGAUGAGCCUAGGUCGGAUUAGCUGGUUGGUGGGGUAACGGCCUACCAAGGCGGCGAUCAGUAACUGGUCUGAGAGGAUGAUCAGUCACACGGGAACUGAGACACGGUCCAGACUACUACGGGAGGCAGCAGUGGGGAAUCUUGGACAAGGGGCGAAAGCCUGAUCCAGCCAUGCCGCGUGUGUGAAGAAGGUCUUCGGAUUGUAAAGCACUGUAAGUCGGGAGGCGUUACCAACAGAAUAAGCACCGGCUAACUUCGUGCCAGCCGCCGCGGUAAUAC